UGUUUUUAUAGUUUAGUUUAGAAUGUAGUUUUGAAGCAGCUAAGGUUGGCUUGAAUAGUCAUAAAAACAU
rnacentral:tRNA from 1 species